GACGAACGCUGGCGGCGUGCUUAACACAUGCAAGUCGUACGGUAAGGCCCUUUCGGGGGUACACGAGUGGCGAACGGGUGAGUAACACGUGAGUAACCUGCCCACAACUUUGGGAUAACGCUAGGAAACUGGUGCUAAUACUGAUAUGUGCUCCUGCUGCAUGGUGGGGGUUGGAAAGCUCCGGCGGUUGUGGAUGGACUCGCGGCCUAUCAGCUUGUUGGUGGGGUAGUGGCCUACCAAGGCGGCGACGGGUAGCCGGCCUGAGAGGGUGACCGGCCACAUUGGGACUGAGAUACGGCCCAGACUCCUACGGGAGGCAGCAGUGGGGAAUAUUGCACAAUGGGCGCAAGCCUGAUGCAGCAACGCCGCGUGCGGGAUGACGGCCUUCGGGUUGUAAACCGCUUUCAGCAGGGACGAAGCUUUUUGUGACGGUACCUGCAGAAGAAGCACCGGCUAACUACGUG
rnacentral:rRNA from 1 species